rnacentral:rRNA from 1 species
GUGCCAGCCGNCGCGGUAAUACCGGNAGCCCAAGUGAUGGCCGAUCUUAUUGGGCCUAAAGCGUCCGUAGCUGGCCGCGCAAGUCCAUCGGGAAAUCCACCUGCUCAACAGGUGGGCGCCCGGUAGAAACUGCGUGGCUUGGGACCGGAAGGCGCGACGGGUACGUCCGGGGUAGGAGUGAAAUCCCGUAAUCCUGGACGGACCGCCGAUGGCGAAAGCACGUCGCGAGAACGGAUCCGACAGUGAGGGACGAAAGCCAGGGUCUCGAACCGGAUUAGAUACCCGGGUAGUCC